rnacentral:ncRNA from 2 species
UCGGCACUGUUUUUCCGAGUCUAUGUUUCUAAGGACUAAACUAUGAAGUAUAGACCAAUGGGUAUAAAGAGAAAUCUUUAUGCCUCCCGUGUUUGGAAAGGAAAAAGGUAAUGGUUUAA